GACGAACGCUGGCGGCGUGCUUAACACAUGCAAGUCGAACGGAAAGGCCCUGCUUUUGUGGGGUGCUCGAGUGGCGAACGGGUGAGUAACACGUGAGUAACCUGCCCUUGACUUUGGGAUAACUUCAGGAAACUGGGGCUAAUACCGGAUAGGAGCUCCUGCUGCAUGGUGGGGGUUGGAAAGUUUCGGCGGUUGGGGAUGGACUCGCGGCUUAUCAGCUUGUUGGUGGGGUAGUGGCUUACCAAGGCUUUGACGGGUAGCCGGCCUGGGAGGGUGACCGGCCUCAUUGGGACUGAGAUACGGCCCAGACUCCUACGGGAGGCAGCAGUGGGGAAUAUUGCACAAUGGGCGGAAGCCUGAUGCAGCAACGCCGCGUGCGGGAUGACGGCCUUCGGGUUGUAAACCGCUUUCGCCUGUGACGAAGCGUGAGUGACGGUAAUGGGUAAAGAAGCACCGGCUAACUACGUG
rnacentral:rRNA from 1 species